GCGGGAGUGGUGGAAUUGGCAGACACGCAGGAUUUAGGUUCCUGUGCCGCAAGGCAUGUGGGUUCAAGUCCCACCUUCCGCA
rnacentral:tRNA from 1 species